UUCUACUUUGCCCACAAUUUAUCCUACUAACCCCGAGCAUGUCAACCAAAUAAUGGAUGCUAGUUGAUGUAAGGAUGAUUACUAAUAGUUAAAUUUAUCCAAUGCCCAAUUAGCUAUUCGAUGUUCAAACACUACCUAAGGUUCCUUAACAUUUAAUAACAUGGACACCAUUGUCCUGUCCUUCCACGAUAGAAAAAAGAAAAGAAAUCAUGUUCGAAUAUGGAUAUCUUGGAUGUUAUUUUGCCUUUUCAUUUUAAUGUCCC
rnacentral:lncRNA from 1 species